UUUCCGUAGGUGAACCUGCGGAAGGAUCAUUAGCGUUAUGGGAUUUGUUAAUCCUUUGGUUAAAUGUGGAAUGGAGUACGUGUGUGACUUUGGAAUUUUGCGAAUUGGAUCAUGUCUGGCUUAUGGUGUUAUAUUUCUAAACAAAAUACAACUCUUAGCAAUGGAUAUCUUGGUUCCC
rnacentral:misc_RNA from 1 species